UUCACCAUAAAGAAAGACUAUGGCAAAGAAGAGAGAGGCACAAUGGGCUGCUGCACAGGGAACUCUUCAUGGUCUUCAGCCACCAGAAACAACCAAAUAAGCUGAUUUGAUUAUGCAGGGUCCAUGCCUAAGCAAAGUGGGCAACCAAGUAAGCUGAUUUUUCUAGUGAUGGCACUACUAUUUCUUUUCCAUUCUUAUCUUUUAGGUGGGUUUGGUCUGAAUGUGAAUCUGAUCUUUGCUUCUUCUUUUUUUCUCUUGGUUCUUCAGGAAUGUGACAAUAUCAGAGGGUGAAAACUAACGAGAGGUACUCUGCAGUUCUAAUCUGAUCAAUUUUAGUAAUGCAGAAACCUUAAAAUUUUUUUUGUUUCAAUUCUUAUAGAGAAGGAGUUUCAUGAUGCAUUGGAUAAUUUGCUUGAGGUGUUGGGUGUCAAAUCUCCCUUUUUCCUAGUUGUUCAGAUUCAACACUUCU